AAUAGAUACCCCGGUAGUCCAUGCCGUAAACGUUGGGAACUAGAUGUGGGGACCAUUCCACGGUCUCCGUGUCGCAGCUAACGCAUUAAGUUCCCCGCCUGGGGAGUACGGCCGCAAGGCUAAAACCCAAAGGAAUUGACGGGGGCCCGCACAAGCGGCGGAGCAUGCGGAUUAAUUCGAUGCAACGCGAAGAACCUUACCAAGGCUUGACAUAGCCGAGAACGCUGCAGAAAUGUAGAACUCUUUGGACACUCGGUUACAGGUGGUGCAUGGUUGUCGUCAGCUCGUGUCGUGAGAUGUUGGGUUAAGUCCCGCAACGAGCGCAACCCUCGUCGUAUGUUGCCAGCACGUAAUGGUGGGAACUCAUAUGAGACUGCCGGGGUCAACUCGGAGGAAGGUGGGGAUGAGGUCAAAUCAUCAUGCCCCUUAUGUCUUGGGCUUCACGCAUGCUACAAUGGCCGGUACAAAGGGCUGUAAUACCGCGAGGUGGAGCGAAUCCCAAAAAGCCGGUCUCAGUUCGGAUUGAGGU
rnacentral:rRNA from 1 species